ACUGCUCAGUAACACGUGGACAACCUGCCCUUAGGUUGGGUAUAAACCCGGGAAACUGGGUAUAAUACCCGAUAGGUCUCGAUUGCUGGAAUGCAUCGAGAUUUAAAGCUCCGGCGCCUAAGGAUGGGUCUGCGGCCUAUCAGGUAGUAGUGGGUGUAGCGUACCUACUAGCCUACGACGGGUACGGGUUGUGAGAGCAAGAGCCCGGAGAUGGAUUCUGAGACACGAAUCCAGGCCCUACGGGGUGCAGCAGGCGCGAAAACUUUACAAUGCUGGCAACAGCGAUAAGGGAACCUCGAGUGCCAGGUUACAAAUCUGGCUGUCGAGAUGCCUAAAAAGCAUUUCAUAGCAAGGGCCGGGCAAGACCGGUGCCAGCCGCCGCGGUAACACCGGCGGCUCGAGUGGUAACCGUUAUUAUUGGGUCUAAAGGGUCUGUAGCCGGCCGGAUAAGUCUCUUGAGAAAUCUGGCAGCUUAACUGUCAGGCUUUCAGGAGAUACUGUCUGGCUCGAGGCCGGGAGAGGUGAGAGGUACUUCAGGGGUAGGGGUGAAAUCUUGUAAUCCUUGAAGGACCACCAGUGGCGAAGGCGUCUCACCAGAACGGACCUGACGGCAAGGGACGAAAGCUAGGGGCACGAACCGGAUUAGAUACCCGGGUAGUCCUAGCCGUAAACGAUACUCGCUAGGUGUCGGCCACGGUGCGACCGUUGUCGGCGCCGUAGGGAAGCCGUGAAGCGAGCCACCUGGGAAGUACGGCCGCAAGGCUGAAACUUAAAGGAAUUGGCGGGGGAGCAC
rnacentral:rRNA from 1 species